rnacentral:rRNA from 1 species
AUUGAACGCUGGCGGCAGGCCUAACACAUGCAAGUCGAGCGAGCGGCGGACGGGUGAGUACUGUCUGGGAAACUGCCUGUUGGAGGGGGCUAACUACUGGAAACGGUAGUUAAUACUGCAUACCAUCAGAUGUGCGCAGAUGGGAUUAGCUAGUAGGUGGGGUAACGGCCUACCUAGGCGACGAUCCCUAGCUGGUCUGAGAGGAUGACCAGCCACACUGGAACUGAGACACGGUCCAGACUCCUACGGGAGGCAGCAGUGGGGAAUAUUGCACAAUGGGCGCAAGCCUGAUGCAGCCAUGCCGCGUGUGUGAAGAAGGCCUUCGGGUUGUAAAGCACUUUCAGCGGGGAGGCGUUACCAGCAGAAGAAGCACCGGCUAACUCCGUGCCAGCAGCCGCGGUAAUAC